AGCCAUGUGAUGAACACAGAGCGAACUAUUCUUUCGCCUUUUACUAAAGAAUACCGUGUGUUCGUUACAAUUAAUGGCAUACUCUUAUUUUUGGAGGGUGUUUUCUCCUAAACACCC
rnacentral:snRNA from 1 species